rnacentral:precursor_RNA from 1 species
CAUGUUCUGUUGGUGUAACCAUCAUAAUUGAAAUUUUUCCUGUUAUUUAAGCAUGUAUGGCAAAAUUAAACUGAGGAUGUAAAUUUGUAUAAAGGCAAAGCUGGCCAGAGCAUAUAUAUGUGAGUAUUGCUGACAGUACUCCCACCAGCCGAACACACCCACACAAAAAAGGAACAUUUGUAGAGUAAUAACUACCCCCUCUGUUUCAUAUUGUAUUGUGUUUUAGUUUUGUUGUAAGUCAAAAUUCUUUUACUUUGACCAAGUUUGUAGUAAAAUAAUUAACAUCUAAAAUACCAAAUAAAUACACUAUUGAGACAUAUUUCAUGGUUGAUUUUUCUAUAAACUUGGUCAAAGUUAGAGAAGUUUGACUUAGGACAAAACUAAACACCUUAUGAUAUGGAACAGAGGGUAUACAAUAUAAGUUAGCAGUCAAAGUUUCAUUUUACCUUCUCGAUGUCCAAAACAUCACUUACCUGUGACCAGAGGGACUGUAUAGGAACAUUCAUCACUUACCUUAAACCUAGUACUCCUCCAUCCACGAGAGUUGUACGUAUAACUUUUUUCACAGUGACCAAGGAGAACACUAACUCCUCUGAUCCAUUUAUUCAUCUAUAUGGAUUCAUACACAGUGUCGUUUCGUUUUUCCCGCAUAUCGCGCAUACGCAACC